GAUUAACGCUGGCGGCGUGCAUAACACAUGCAUGUUGAACGAGAAUCUCUUUGACAGAACCUUCGGGUGACGACAGGGAGAGGAAAGUAGCGGAUGGGUGAGUAACACGUAAGGAACCUGCCACGCACAGGGGGAUAGCAGCCGGAAACGACUAUUAAUACCCCAUGAUACCUCACUUUCGCAUGAAAGAGAGGUCAAAGAUUUAUCGGUGUGUGAUGGCCUUGCGUCUGAUUAGCUUGUUGGUGGGUAAAGGCCUACCAAGGCGAUGAUCAGUAGCCGGCUUGAGAGAGUGUACGGCCACAUUGGGGGACUGAGACACGGCCCAGACUCCUACGGGAGGCAGCAGUGGGGAAUUUUGCACAAUGGAGGAAACUCUGAUGCAGCGACGCCGCGUGAACGAAGAAGGUCUUCGGAUUGAAAGUUCUGUCCUGGACGAAGAUAAUGACGGUAAUCCAGGAGGAAGCCCGG
rnacentral:rRNA from 1 species